GCCCAAUAAACGGCUCUGGGCAUUCGUAAACCACGUUUCAAAUACGAGAAAAUGAAUGCCUAGUUCCCAGACCCCGUCUCAUUUGAGAUGAGGGUAUGACGUUAGCCAGGCUACAGUAGGCCUAUAA